rnacentral:rRNA from 1 species
GACGAACGCUGGCGGCGUGCCUAAUACAUGCAAGUCGAACGCGUCUACGUUAAUGAAAUCAAUGUGCUUGCACGGCGAUGGAUUUAACAUUAGACGAGUGGCGAACUGGUGAGUAACACGUGGGUAACCUGCCCUCAAGCAGGGGAUAACACUUGGAAACAGGUGCUAAUACCGUAUAACAACAAAAACCGCAUGGUUUUUGUUUGAAAGAUGGUUUCGGCUAUCACUUGAGGAUGGACCCGCGGCGUAUUAGCUAGUUGGUGAGGUAAUGGCUCACCAAGGCAAUGAUACGUAGCCGACCUGAGAGGGUAAUCGGCCACAUUGGGACUGAGACACGGCCCAAACUCCUACGGGAGGCAGCAGUAGGGAAUCUUCCACAAUGGACGAAAGUCUGAUGGAGCAACGCCGCGUGAGUGAAGAAGGUUUUCGGAUCGUAAAGCUCUGUUGUUGAAGAAGGAUAGAGGUAGUAACUGGCCCCUAUUUGACGGUAAUCAACCAGAAAGUCACGGCUAACUACGUGCCAGCCGCCGCA